rnacentral:rRNA from 1 species
GGGUUGUGAGGUUAAGCGACUAAGCGUACACGGUGGAUGCCCUGGCAGUCAGAGGCGAUGAAGGACGUGCUAAUCUGCGAAAAGCGUCGGUAAGGUGAUAUGAACCGUUAUAGCCGGCGAUGUCCGAAUGGGGAAACCC